rnacentral:lncRNA from 1 species
GAUAUUUUACACAAAGUUAACCGCUCCCUCCACGGGACCGACUUGCGCACAAAGUUGCAGGUAGAGAAGCUGAAACCCA